rnacentral:rRNA from 1 species
AUACGGGGGGAGCAAGCGUUGUCCGGAAUCACUGGGCGUAAAGGACGCGUAGGCGGGUUUGUAAGUCAGGUGUGAAAUCCUACAGCUCAACUGUAGAACUGCGCUUGAAACUACAGACCUAGAGUAUGGAAGGGGCAGAUGGAAUUAGUGGUGUAGGGGUAAAAUCCGUAGAUAUCACUAGGAAUAUCGAAAGCGAAGGCGAUCUGCUGGGACAUUACUGACGCUGAGGCGUGAAAGCGUGGGGAGCAAACAGGAUUAGAAACCCGGGUAGUCC